AUAAAGAGAAGAGUGUGUUAAUCUAGAGCAGUGGUAAUUCAGAUAGGGUGUUAUCUUGUGGAGUUUGAUAAGCGGUGGCCUAGUUUUUGGAUGGAGUAGAGUCGAGUGUGCAUGGGCACGGGUCGGAUAGUGAUGCAGCUGCGGAUGGAGCAAGGAGGAUACGAGGGGAUCAACGCAAGGACUCUCUCUCUCUGAAAAGGCGACCCUGUUGCUUCCUUUUUUCAGCACCUGGUGUUUUUCUCUCUCUCUGUAGAAAAUCAGAGUGUGGGAAAGACGACUCUGCAGAUGUGUAGGAAUCAACAAGUUCUGAGGACACGCUUCUUCUUCUGCUGACCACCAACUUCCGGUUUUGGAGAUGGGAAAAGAUGUGGAGUGGUGACCAUGUGGAACCAGCAAGACUUUUGGAAAGAGAGGAGAUGGAAGCGUGCCUUCUUCUUUGGAGAUAUUUUGUGACCCAUUUGAGAGAGAUUCAACCACCCACAGCAUUUGAUAGAAUUGCACCCAUUGAAAAUUGUCACAUUUACGAUCGUGUCACCUUUUCUCUCCGUGUCCAUCAGGUGGGACGUGGGGGAGCGAGUGGAGCGAGGGGUCCAUUUUUGAUCUCCAACGACUUUGGUGGUGGUAAUUAGCGAAAAUUGGUAAUUAAGAUAUUAUAUAGGAUACAGACUGCCUGUCGCCUUUGAUUUGAGAGUGUGUGUGGUGUGGAGAAGCAGGCGGCGGCGGCCCGCCCUUUGAGUUCUGGAGGUGAGAAAUAAUGGGAAUUGAGAAAUGUGGUGAUUGAGAUGGGAAUUAACUACCCGGUGGGGUUUUAUCCGUGAAGGGGUGAUGGUCACGAGUAAAAUCGGCGGAGAGUAGUGGUAGAAGCACAUUUUGAUUAGUAUAGUGGGUGGAUAGCUAAUUAUUGCGGUAAUUUGAUUGUCUCUCUCUCUCUGAUAAUUGAGUGGUUUGAGACGAUUGUGUGGAGUGACACAGAGCCUGCACACCGCACACCCAGCGCCGGCUGCUGGUCGUCAUGACAAUUUAUUUAACUCUCUCCACUAUAGAUGGCUCUCUCGUUUAAUAAACAAUUUUUAUUUUCGUAAUUUCUCAGACAUAUAAUUUAUUGCACAAUAAUAUUAACUAUAAUUAACCCAACUUCCCCCCGCCCUGCCGUUUAUAACUCUGCUCCACCUGUUUAAACAGCUCAUCAAACUCCUCCCUAAGAUAUUUAUUAAUCCUGUUUAUCGCCUCCUGAUCCGGAACAAUGUCUUUGUUCGCAUACAGCGUUAUCGUAGCCGUGGACUGGUGGGUGUACACUGCGGUGGCGAUCGCUAAAAAAAUUUUUAAAAAAAUUUAAAUUUCCCUCCACAAA